rnacentral:rRNA from 1 species
GCGGAAAGGCCCUUCGGGGUACUCGAGCGGCGAACGGGUGAGUAACACGUGAGCAACCUGCCCUAGGCUUUGGGAUAACCCUCGGAAACGGGGGCUAAUACCGAAUAUGACCUCGCAUCGCAUGGUGUGUGGUGGAAAGUUUUUCGGCCUGGGAUGGGCUCGCGGCCUAUCAGCUUGUUGGUGGGGUGAUGGCCUACCAAGGCGACGACGGGUAGCCGGCCUGAGAGGGCGACCGGCCACACUGGGACUGAGACACGGCCCAGACUCCUACGGGAGGCAGCAGUGGGGAAUAUUGCACAAUGGGCGGAAGCCUGAUGCAGCGACGCCGCGUGAGGGAUGACGGCCUUCGGGUUGUAAACCUCUUUCAGCAGGGACGAAGCGUAAGUGACGGUACCUGCAGAAGAAGCGCCGGCCAACUACGUGCCAGCAGCCGCGGUAAGACGUAGGGCGCGAGCGUUGUCCGGAUUUAUUGGGCGUAAAGAGCUCGUAGGCGGCUUGUCGCGUCGACCGUGAAAACCUGGGGCUCAACCCCAGGCCUGCGGUCGAUACGGGCAGGCUAGAGUUCGGUAGGGGAGACUGGAAUUCCUGGUGUAGCGGUGAAAUGCGCAGAUAUCAGGAGGAACACCGGUGGCGAAGGCGGGUCUCUGGGCCGAUACUGACGCUGAGGAGCGAAAGCGUGGGGAGCGAACAGGAUUAGAUACCCUGGUAGUCCACGCUGUAAACGUUGGGCGCUAGGUGUGGGGGGGCCUCUCCGGUUCCCUGUGCCGCAGCUAACGCAUUA